GGCGGCUCCUCCGAAGGCGCUGACCUGUGCCUUCCUCCGCGCCCGCAGCGUGCUGUGCGCGAGACUGCGUCGCCUCGCGUCGAGCUACGGAGCUAGAAUACAUCCAGGUCAUCUCCUUUUUUAUCUGCAAGGCUCAGAAUUUGUUUCUAUUCAUGAGAAGUAAAAGUACAGCCCUUAAAAUGACAGGAAAAUUAAGGAACAUGUUUCCAGUCAUGUUGAAAUACAUUUCCAUUCCUCAUAUCUGAAGUUAUGAAUGUUGACUAGGGAAUCUGUAUUUCAAAUGCCUUACUCUGGAAAACACAGCCUUUCAAGUACACAAUGAAGAAGCCAGACAGGGCUGAUGGCCCAUCAGCAAAGACAAUGAACUGUGGAAUAGCUUGACCUUCCUGUGGGUGUUUUGGCCAGCCUGCAAGCAAUGGCCCGUCUGAUAUACUGAAGGGCAUGUGACCAGCCCACAUUUCUCUGGAUUGGACUCCAUCUUGGGAUGUCCGCAAACUGGUCUGGGAACCAAAAUUUGAAAUAAAGGGUUGCUGCUAUAUGGUAAAGCUAUAUAAGGCAGCAAGUGACAUCAUCUGUUGUUCUUCACUCCCCACACAAAAAGACUCCUGGAAACACCUGAGAAACAAAGCCUGAACUGGGGGAAGUGCUGAACCCAGGCUAAAGAAUUUCUAGUGUGUAUGUGACACACCUGGGGAUUCCAAGCUGUAAAGCCACUACAGCUUCUCCGUUAAGAAUCUGCAGGCUGCUUGUAUAAUCAGUUAGGGAUGACAUUGAAGAACAAUUUAAAGUGAAAUGUAAUCCAGCUGAAGAUGGUAAAACCACUAUAGAGAAUAUGAAGUAGUGUAGACAUGCCCGGAAACUGUCUGGUUUUUAACCAGGCUGAAAGAAAGAUGGUGAAGGGGCACUAAGGGGAUAGAAAAACAAGCAAAACAGAGGAAUGAAAAGGAGAGUUUGAAAGAAGAUAAGGGAAUAAAGGUAGGAAAACUUCUGGGUAAAAGAGUAAAAUGACAGCCCAAGUUUAAAGGAAUUAAAUGAUAUUUUAUUUGUUCAAGUUUCUAAAUUUAUUAGGCCAAAUUCAGAUCUGAUGCAAUUGGGAGUAAGUUCAGAUACGCUAAUAGAGUUGGACCUGAUUACACCAGGGUUGAAUUUAGCUCAUUGAGUAAAAUUUUCAGAAAUUUAUCAGCUUAAGUCCCAUUUUUUAGAAGUGACUUAGGCAUCACAUAGGUACUUUUGAAAAUGUUAUCCUA